rnacentral:rRNA from 1 species
GACGAACGCUGGCGGCGUGCUUAACACAUGCAAGUCGAACGGAAAGGCCCCUUUGGGGGUACUCGAGUGGCGAACGGGUGAGUAACACGUGAGUAACCUGCCCUUGACUUCGGGAUAACUUCAGGAAACUGGGGCUAAUACCGGAUAGGAAUCCUUGCUGCAUGGUGGGGGUUGGAGAGCUUCGGCGGUUUUGGAUGGACUCGCGGCUUAUCAGCUUGUUGGUGGGGUAGUGGCUUACCAAGGCUUUGACGGGUAGCCGGCCUGAGAGGGCGACCGGCCACAUUGGGACUGAGAUACGGCCCAGACUCCUACGGGAGGCAGCGGUGGGGAAUAUUGCACAAUGGGCGGAAGCCUGAUGCAGCAACGCCGCGUGCGGGAUGACGGCCUUCGGGUUGUAAACCGCUUUCAGCAGGGGCGAAGCUUGUGGUGACGGUACCUGCAGAAGAAGCACUGGCUAACUACGUG